rnacentral:lncRNA from 1 species
AACUAUACCAUACUCCUGCAAUUUGAAACUUUUAACCAUCAUGCUAUAAUGAUAUUACUGGCCAACAUAUUAAUCGAACUUUAUCAUGUUUAUAGAGGACUAAUUGCUGAAGUUGCAAAUAACCCAAGAAAUUAAUUUUAUUUCUAUGGGAAGGUUGUUUACACAAGUGCUUCAGUGUAGUCUUUUGUUGCAUCACACCCC